rnacentral:lncRNA from 1 species
UGCAGUCAGAUCGGAGUCUGCAUGUUCAAUGGAAAACAAUCCGUGGGCUCUGGAAUCAGGUCUGUGGUUAACAAUAACUAUAAUACAAGCUCCGAUGAUCUUGUGUGCACUGCAUGUGAGCUAGCAGUGGGUUGGGUCCAGAAUCAACUUAAAAUAGACGAGAAUAAGGACAGGAUACUGACCUACAUCAACGAGCUUUGCGAGAAGCUACCCAGCCCCAUGGGAGAAUCUGUAAUAGAUUGCAACCGUCUUUCGGCCAUGCCAAACAUCACUUUCACCAUCGGAGAUAAACUCUUCAAUCUCAAACCUGAUCAGUAUAUG